rnacentral:lncRNA from 1 species
UGAGGUGUAUGGAAGUGAAAUGUAUACACUUGAGCAACACUUACAUAUGAGUAAUUUUUUAUUCUAGCAACUUGAUUGAAGAGCUGGAUUUAACUCUGAAGAGGACAAGUUCAUGAGCUAGACUUUGGAGACCAGAAAAGGCCUUGGGAAGUUAUCUGAUGAAUUCUCCAUUCUCCUGGUAAGGAAUCUGAGGCACAGAGGUUUUAGUACCUUGCCCAAAGUCACCUAGCUCAUAAGUGAUGGAGUCAGAAUUUUCAUGGAGCCUAAAUUUCUGAACCCAGCAUCAAGGCUCUUCCCAACUGGACCACAGCCUUCCUUAAUGUUCUCAAAACACUCUCCUCCUCAUCGCGACCACCCUUGAGAACCUCGGACUACGCACCAUGCAGGUUCUUGCCUUUGUUUCUUGCUUUCCAAUGUGAUUUGGUGCAUACAUGCGUAGUCGGGAAUCUCACGUGCCCAAAGUGACGUUCAGUCUCUGUUCCAGAUUCCAGAGGAGGUAACCUCUAAACCUUCAUUAUUUCCUGAGUGAUAGGAGGAUCUUUGUUAUUCCUGAUGGGCCCCUGGGACCUCACCUGAUCAUUUAGGCUAUGCUACCAAGGUGGCUCGUGGCAGGCCCUUCUGGUCAUGUGAUAUUAGCUCAAUCUCCGGGGAGGGAGUAGGUACUAUUGACUGAGUUCAAUCACAUGAAUAAUGAUUCAAUCAAUCAUGCCUGUGUAAUGAAUCCCAGUAAAAAAUUCUGGCCAUCGAAGUGCAGGUAAGCUGCCCUGGUUGUCAAUACUGAUGCCUAUUGUCAUACAUCAUGGCUAGGAGGAGGGUAAUGCUACCUGUCCAUGACUCUACAGACUAGGGUGGUGGGAGGGAUGACUAGAAGCUCCAUGUUUGGGCUUCCUAGACUUUGCCUUACGUAUCUCUUCCUUUAGCUGGUUCUAAUUUGUAUCCUUUUCCUGUAAUGCAUGUGAUUUUAAGUAUAAUAGUGA